rnacentral:ncRNA from 2 species
UAUAGUGCCGAAAUCCUUGGUUAGAUACCAGAUAUGGUAUCGGGAAUCCGGUGAGAAUCCGGAACUGACGCGCAGCGGUAUUGGGGAACGAGCGUGGCAUAAAGACACUGGCUCAGGCCGGGAAGUCGCCACGCAAGGCAGAACCUGCAGGUUCAUGCUCCUGAGUCCGAAGACCUGCCAGGGAAGACUGCACCUU